rnacentral:lncRNA from 1 species
CUUGUUUUAAUAAACAAUGUCUCUUUCUAGGAAGGUGUUUUGCUUCAGAGGGUCUGCUAGCUGAAGUGCCACUGUGCUCCUCUGAGCACAGAACAUGGAUGUCUUUGGUCUCUGGUAGGAGGAGUGAUGGGCCGCACUUACAGAUCCCAGGCACAGAGCAACAUUUUGCAGAACAUAAACAAUAAGCCAGCUUAUAAUGUGGGAAUACACUGAUACAGCACGU